GGAGAGGUGGCAGAGUGGUCGAAUGCACCGGUUUCGAAAACCGGCGUGCCGCAAGGUACCGGGAGUUCGAAUCUCCCCCUCUCCG
rnacentral:tRNA from 1 species